GGCGAAGUCUCGAAACGAUAAAACGCCCACGGCCAAUGCACUUAUCAGACACUCCUUGGACGAACAUUUGAGCUCUUACACAAAAGAGAAAGGAACGCAGAUGACGAACCAUGCUGUGACGAAAGCAUGUGACGUCAGCUCCAAAACACUAUAAAAGACUAGACGAUUCAAUCAGAAAACAGGUCAACUGGUCAACAAGUCACGCAGUCACUGCAUGCAGCACGUGAGUGCUAUGCAGUGCACUGAAAGACGAUGCAGACUCAGCAAAGACCAACCAGAGUUCAUCAGUCUAGGAGAACUUAUAUCCUAACCACUGCCUAUACAAGUGGUUAGGCGUUCGAGUUUCUUAUCGUGAUUGUAUAUUGCAUCAGUAUCGCCCUUGCGUUAAUAACCGUGGUAAUAAAUAAUCAACAAACCAGUUAUUGCUUGGAUAGUUAACCUUAAUCAAGGAGCAAAAUUAGACUUAGCGGCAAGUCUCAGAACACGCAGCCACGCUAGCCGAUCUCACAUCGCUAGUCGCUAAACGCCUGCAAUCAACAUCCGGCUUAAAGGACCUUUCUGACGUCACAGUCACAGCAAGGGACAGAGCCGCCGCCGCAGCACCCACUUUGGGAACCACUGAUUUAAUUAGUGUAUGAUUAAGUAUAUUUUAUACUACUUAAAAUUAAUAGGCUAAGCAAAUGAAUUUUGCAUCAGGUUGCAAAGUGCUUCUUUGUGACUUCCAUCGCGAACAGGCAUGGGAAAGAUGGGUCAAAAAAUCAGAUAAUGGUGUUGGAGACAGAAAAAAGGCAGUUUUAUCUGGUUUACGAGCAGUAGCAAAGGCAGAAAAUCAUGCUGAACUCGAAAGUGCUUUAGAUUCACUUAUGAACAGGUGAAGUUUAUACAGAAAACCCGAAGCUACAAAAAUACUUUCAAAAUUCUUGGUGGCUACAAAAGGAGAGAUGGGUUUCACUCUACCGAAUAGAGAAGAUGCGUGUGCCAAUUGGAACAAACAACGGAGUUGAACGGCAAAAUAAAAUGCUUAAAACAAGUACAUUUUAGUUCAUACAAAGAUACAAUUAUCGAUUUCUGAUUAGAACAUGUUUAUAGACUUUUUCUAUAAGUUAGCAUUGAUAUAGUUGUCACUUGAUGUUUUAUAAGAGUUCGUUGGUGUGAACGUC